rnacentral:rRNA from 1 species
AGUGAACGCUGGCGGUAGGCCUAACACAUGCAAGUCGAACGGCAGCACAGUAAGAGCUUGCUCUUACGGGUGGCGAGUGGCGGACGGGUGAGGAAUACAUCGGAAUCUACUUUUUCGUGGGGGAUAACGUAGGGAAACUUACGCUAAUACCGCAUACGACCUACGGGUGAAAGCAGGGGAUCUUCGGACCUUGCGCGAUUGAAUGAGCCGAUGUCGGAUUAGCUAGUUGGCGGGGUAAAGGCCCACCAAGGCGACGAUCCGUAGCUGGUCUGAGAGGAUGAUCAGCCACACUGGAACUGAGAAACGGUCCAGACUCCUACGGGAGGCAGCAGUGGGGAAUAUUGGACAAUGGGCGCAAGCCUGAUCCAGCCAUACCGCGUGGGUGAAGAAGGCCUUCGGGUUGUAAAGCCCUUUUGCUGGGAAAGAAAAGCAGCAGGUUAAUACCCCGCUGUUCUGACGGUACCCAAAGAAUAAGCACCGGCUAACUUCGU